rnacentral:rRNA from 1 species
AACGAACGCUGGCGGCAGGCUUAACACAUGCAAGUCGAACGCCCCGCAAGGGGAGUGGCAGACGGGUGAGUAACGCGUGGGAAUCUACCCAGUUCUACGGAACAACAGUUGGAAACGACUGCUAAUACCGUAUACGCCCUACGGGGGAAAGAUUUAUCGGAAUUGGAUGCGCCUACGUGGGAUUAGCUAGUUGGUGGGGUAAUGGCUCACCAAGGCGACGAUCCCUAGCUGGUUUGAGAGGAUGAUCAGCCACACUGGAACUGAGACACGGUCCAGACUCCUACGGGAGGCAGCAGUGGGGAAUAUUGGACGAUGGGCGCAAGCCUGAUCCAGCCAUGCCGCGUGUGUGAAGAAGGCCUUCGGGUUGUAAAGCACUUUCAGUAGGGAGGAAGGGUGUUGUGUUAAUAGCACAGCAUUUUGACGUUACCUACAGAAGAAGCACCGGCUAACUCUGUGCCAGCAGCCGCCGUAACAC